rnacentral:lncRNA from 1 species
CUAGAUUUUAAGUAAUAAUAGUUUUAUGCUAGAUUGCUAGCAUAUCAAUAUACCAGAAAGAAUAUUGAUUAGAACUAAUUAAUACAAUUCCCAUGGCAAUAAAAAUGAAAAGAAACAUGUAAUGUUGAUAAAUCCUAAUGAAAAAGAAGUGUCUUAUUUUCUAAAACCAGUAAAAUGAUGCAGUUUCUUCAGAGAGAAGUAGUUUUCACCAAGGACCCAGAGAUUGUACUAUUUUGUUUCUUAUUUAUCAAGCAACAACUAAUUUUAGAGCAGGCUAAAAACAAAUGAAAAUUUGGAAAUGAAAAAAAAAAUUACAAGAAAAGGAGUUGUGAUGGUAGAGAUUCAUCCCGUAACCAGGGGACCUAGCAGCAGCUCUGGGCCUAAUUGUGACCCACAAGAAGAAACUGGUCUUUGAACUUUCACAGGAACUGUGAAAAAACAAACAAUCAUGCCACUUUUCAAUUUGUAAAAGCAAAGAAUGGAUUCUGGCUGUGUGUGACUAUAAUUUAGGCAGGUUGAUCUCAAAAAUUUGAUUUCUUUUAAAUUUAGUAUUUUUUUCUUCAACCUCAGGUUUGAAAAGACUUCUGGCCGGGCGCGGUGGCUCAAGCCUGUAAUCCCAGCACUCUGGGAGGCCGAGGCAGGUGGAUCACGAGGUCGAGAGAUCGAAACCAUCCUAGUCAACAUGGUGAAACCCCGUCUCUACUAAAAAUACAAAAAAUUAGCUGGGCAUGGUGGCGCGUGCCUGUAAUCCCAGCUACUCGGGAGGCUGAGGCAGGAGAAUUGUCUGAACCCAGAAGGCAGAGGUUGCGGUGAGCCGAGAUUGCGCCAUUGCACUCCAGCCUGGGUAACAAGAGCAAAACUCCGUCUCAAAAAAAAAGAAAAGACUUCAAAAAUUUGAGGAGAAAACAGGCUGUAAAUCCUCUGAAAUGAAAACCGAGGAAGAUUGGAAACUUUCAAAAACUUAAUUUGAACUGAAAAUGCAAAUAAUCUGAUUAAUGAAGGAAGAAAAACAAAAGAUGCUGAAUUCGCAGCACAUUCUGCAGUUAUUCUGGAGAACAAGUGAGAAACAGGGCAGAAUUGGAUCAGCCCAAGGCCAUCCGGGGAACUGUCCUGCACAGAGAAGGAUGAAAGCCGGUCCUGGAUCAUGACAGCUGAGGUGCCAGGUAAGUUGAGUUCUUGUGGUUAAC